AUAUAUAUAUAUAUAUAUAGCAUCAGACUUUUAAUCUGAGGGUCCAGGGUUCAAGUCCCUGUUUGGGUGUUGUAGUACCCUCCAUAUCUUCUGAGAGGACCAGUGAAACCAUCUAAGGUGCCUCUUUCCAGCAUGUUUUGUUCAGCAAGCAAAAUGGGCAAACUAAGGGUAAACAUUCAGCAGGUUGUCAAGUUACUAAUGGUUACUAGGUGAGAGUGUUGCUACAUAAGCUUUGUUACCUUUUAGCAUGAAGUUGACAAAGACAUGGGUGGUCAUCAUAGAGAUUGGAGUCCAUAUAACAGCAUCCUUAUUAGACUGCACAGAAAAUAAAUCAUGGGUCUGUGUGAAAAAGAGCACAUUGAAUGACCCCGACAUGAUUUGAACCUUCUGAUCUGGAGUCAGACGCACUUCCGUUGCGCCACGAGGUCCCAGCUCGAAGCCUAUAGCGCAUCGUGGUGCAAGGCAUACUUGUUCAUCGGCGUGGCGAUCAAGACGCAUUGGAACUCGGAGACAG
ensembl:lncRNA